rnacentral:rRNA from 1 species
GACGAACGCUGGCGGCGUGCUUAACACAUGCAAGUCGAGCGGUAAGGCCCUUUCGGGGGUACACGAGCGGCGAACGGGUGAGUAACACGUGGGUGACCUGCCCUCAGCUCUGGGAUAAGCCUGGGAAACCGGGUCUAAUACUGGAUAUGACUCCAUGACGCAUGUUGUGGGGUGGAAAGCCUUGUGCGGCUGAGGAUGGGCCCGCGGCCUAUCAGCUUGUUGGUGGGGUGAUGGCCUACCAAGGCGACGACGGGUAGCCGGCCUGAGAGGGCGACCGGCCACACUGGGCUGAGACACGGCCCAGACUCCUACGGGAAGGCAGCAGUGGGGAAUCUUGCGCAAUGGGCGAAAGCCUGACGCAGCGACGCCGCGUGAGGGAUGACGGCCUCGG